UACCCGCAGCACAAGUGGUGGUCAUUAUUAUUGGGCCUAAAGCGUCCGUAGCUGGUUUGUUAAAUGCCUGGGUAAAUCGAUGCGCUUAACGUCUCGAACUCCGGGUAGACUGGCAAACUCGAGACCGGGAGAGGCAUGGGCUACUCGCGGGGUAGGGGUAAAAUCCUGUAAUCCUGCGGGGAGGACCAGUGGCGAAGGCGCCAUGCUAGAACGGCUCUGACAGUGAGGGACGAAGCCCUGGGGCGCAAACCGG
rnacentral:rRNA from 1 species